AAAGUGGAUUAGCGGCGGACGGGUGAGUAACACGUGAGUAACCUGCCUUAGACAUUGGGAUAGCCUCGGGAAACCGGGAUUAAUACCAAAUAAAAUCAUAAUGACACAUGUCAUAACGAUCAAAACUCCGGUGGUCUAAGAUGGACUCGCGUCCCAUUAGCUAGUUGGUAGAGUAAAAGCCUACCAAGGCGACGAUGGGUAGCCGGCCUGAGAGGGUGAACGGCCACAUUGGAACUGAGAAACGGUCCAAACUCCUACGGGAGGCAGCAGUGGGGAAUAUUGCACAAUGGAGGGAACUCUGAUGCAGCGACGCCGCGUGAACGAAGAAGGCUUUCGAGUCGUAAAGUUCUUUUAUAUGGGAAGAUAAUGACGGUACCAUAAGAAAAAGCCCCGGCUAACUAC
rnacentral:rRNA from 1 species